UUACGAUCGCCCUUUUCGGUUGAUCCUGCCGGACCUGACUGCUAUCGGAUUGAUACUAAGCCAUGCGAGUCAUUGUAGCAAUACAAGGCAGACGGCUCAGUAACGCGUAGUCAAUCUACCCUAUGGACGGGAAUAACCUCGGGAAACUGAGAAUAAUGCCCGAUAGAACAUUAUGCCUGGAAUGGUUUAUGUUUCAAAUGAUUUAUCGCCAUAGGAUGGGACUGCGGCCUAUCAGUUUGUUGGUGAGGUAAUGGCCCACCAAGACUAUUACAGGUACGGGCUCUGAGAGGAGUAGCCCGGAGAUGGGUACUGAGACACGGACCCAGGCCCUAUGGGGCGCAGCAGGCGAGAAAACUUUGCAAUGUGCGAAAGCACGACAAGGUUAAUCCGAGUGGUUUCUGCUAAAGAAACCUUUUGUCAGUCCUAGAAACACUAACGAAUAAGGGGUGGGCAAGUUCUGGUGUCAGCCGCCGCGGUAAAACCAGCACCUCAAGUGGUCAGGAUGAUUAUUGGGCCUAAAGCAUCCGUAGCUCGUUUUGUAAGUUUUCGGUUAAAUCCAUACGCUUAACGUAUGGGCUGCCGGGAAUACUGCAUAACUAGGAAGUGGGAGAGGUAGACGGUACUCGGUAGGAAGGGGUAAAAUCCUUUGAUCUAUUGAUGACCACCUGUGGCGAAGGCGGUCUACCAGAACACGUUCGACGGUGAGGGAUGAAAGCUGGGGGAGCAAACCGGAUUAGAUACCCGGGUAGUCCCAGCUGUAAACUAUGCAAACUCAGUGAUGCAUUGGCUUGUGGCCAAUGCAGUGCUGCAGGGAAGCCGUUAAGUUUGCCGCCUGGGAAGUACGUACGCAAGUAUGAAACUUAAAGGAAUUGGCGGGGGAGCACCAC
rnacentral:rRNA from 1 species